GCAUCGAUGGUUCAGUGGUAGAAUGCUCGCCUGCCACGUGGGCGGCCCGGGUUCGAUUCCCGGCCGAUGCC
rnacentral:tRNA from 1 species